rnacentral:rRNA from 1 species
AUAGCCUACGGGGCGCAGCAGUGGGGGAUAUUGGACAAUGGGGGAAACCCUGAUCCAGCGACGCCGCGUGAGUGAAGAAGUAUUUCGGUAUGUAAAGCUCUGUCAGCAGGGAAGAAAGAAAUGACGGUACCUGACCAAGAAGCCCCGGCUAACUACGUGCCAGCAGCCGCGGUAAAACGUAGGGUGCAAGCGUUGUCCGGAAUUACUGGGUGUAAAGGGAGCGCAGGCGGAUUGACAAGUUGGGAGUGAAAACUACGGGCUCAACCCGUAACCUGCUUUCAAAACUGUCAGUCUUGAGUGGUGUA